ACGAACGCUGGCGGCAUGCCUAAUACAUGCAAGUCGAACGAUCCCUUCGGGGAUAGUGGCGCACGGGUGCGUAACGCGUGGGAAUCUGCCCUUGGGUUCGGAAUAACUUCGGGAAACUGAAGCUAAUACCGGAUGAUGACGAAAGUCCAAAGAUUUAUCGCCCAGGGAUGAGCCCGCGUAGGAUUAGCUAGUUGGUGGGGUAAAGGCUCACCAAGGCAACGAUCCUUAGCUGGUCUGAGAGGAUGAUCAGCCACACUGGGACUGAGACACGGCCCAGACUCCUACGGGAGGCAGCAGUAGGGAAUAUUGGACAAUGGGCGAAAGCCUGAUCCAGCAAUGCCGCGUGAGUGAUGAAGGCCUUAGGGUUGUAAAGCUCUUUUACCCGAGAUGAUAAUGACAGUAGCGGGAGAAUAAGCUCCGGCUAACUCCGU
rnacentral:rRNA from 1 species